GACGAACGCUGGCGGCGUGCCUAACACAUGCAAGUCGAGCGGGAACCUCAGGAGGGGUAACCCUCCUGAGGGGAGAGCGGCGAACGGGUGAGUAACACGUGGGCAACCUGCCCCGGACACCGGGAUAACCCAGGGAAACCUGAGCUAAUACCGGAUACUCCGGCGAGAUCGCAUGGUCGCGCCGGGAAAGCUCCGACGGUCCGGGAUGGGCCCGCGGCCUAUCAGCUUGUUGGUGGGGUAACGGCCCACCAAGGCGACGACGGGUAGCUGGUCUGAGAGGACGGCCAGCCACACUGGGACUGAGACACGGCCCAGACUCCUACGGGAGGCAGCAGUGGGGGAUCUUGCGCUAAUGCGCGAAAGCGUGACGCAGCGACGCCGCGUGGGGGAUGAAGGCCCUCGGGUUGUAAACCUCUUUCAGCAGGGAAUAAGCGAAAGUGAAGGUACCUGCAGAAGAAGCACCGGCUAACUAUGUGCCAGCCGCCGCGGUAAAAC
rnacentral:rRNA from 1 species